rnacentral:rRNA from 1 species
UACGAAGGGGGGCUAGCGUUGUUCGGAAUUACUGGGCGUAAAGGGCGCGUAGGCGGUGUGUCAAGUCAGGCGUGAAAGCCCCCGGGCUCAACCUGGGAACCGCGCUUGAGACUGGCACGCUCGAGUUCGGGAGAGGAUGGUGGAAUUCCCCAGUGUAGAGGUGAAAUUCGUAGAUAUUGGGAAGAACACCAGUGGCGAAAGGGCGGCU